rnacentral:rRNA from 1 species
GAGACUGCCAGUGAUAAACUGGAGGAAGGUGGGGAUGACGUCAAGUCAUCAUGGCCCUUACGACCAGGGCUACACACGUGCUACAAUGGCGCAUACAAAGAGAAGCGACCUCGCGAGAGCAAGCGGACCUCAUAAAGUGCGUCGUAGUCCGGAUUGGAGUCUGCAACUCGACUCCAUGAAGUCGGAAUCGCUAGUAAUCGUGGAUCAGAAUGCCACGGUGAAUACGUUCCCGGGCCUUGUACACACCGCCCGUCACACCAUGGGAGUGGGUUGCAAAAGAAGUAGGUAGCUUAACCUUCGGGAGGGCGCUUACCACUUUGUGAUUCAUGACUGGGGUG